rnacentral:rRNA from 1 species
CCUGGGGGAAACCUUGACGCAGCCACGCCGCGUGCUGGAAGAAGGUCCUAUGGAUUGUAAACAGCCUUUAAAUGGGAAGAAAGUGCGGGUUUAGACCUGUAUUGACGGUACCGUUUGAAUAAGCACCGGCUAACUCCGUGCCAGCAGCCGCGGUAAUACGGAGGGUGCAAGCGUUGUCCGGAAUCAUUGGGUGUAAAGGGUGCGUAGGCGGAUUUGUAAGUCUGAGGUGAAAUCUUGCCGCUUAACGGUAAAAUGGCCUUGGAUACUGCAGGUCUUGAAUCUAGUAGAGGUUGGUGGAAUUCGUGGUGUAGCGGUGAAAUGCAUAGAUAUCACGAAGAACACCGGUGGCGAAGGCGGCCAACUGGGCUAGUAUUGACGCUGAGGCACGAGAGCGUGGGGAGCGAACAGGAUUAGAUACCCUGGUAGUCCACGCCGUAAACGAUGUGUGCUAGUUGUGGGUCUUUCGGGAUCCGUGACGCAGUUAACGCAGUAAGCACACCACCUGGGGAGUACGUUCGCAAGAAUGAAACUCAAAGGAAUUGACGGGGGCCCGCACAAGCGGUGGAGCAUGUGGCUUAAUUCGAUGCAACGCGAAGAACCUUACCUGGGCUAAAUCUGUGGUGAUCGAUCCGGAAACGGGUUUUCCCUUCGGGGCACCAUGGAAGGUGCUGCAUGGCUGUCGUCAGCUCGUGCCGUGAGG